AUUAUUUCUUUGCAUUUAAAACUUUCUUUAAUUGGUUAAUGACUUGAUCAAUUCUUCAAAAUAAUUUGAGGGUUUGAUUAUAAAUGUAAAGUGCAUAAAAUUCAGAAACCUACCGCGUAACUAGAUAACUAGCGUACCGCGUAUUCGCACCGCAUUUUGGGUAAUAAGCUCAUCUCUUAUGAAUUUCACUUGCGCGCUUUCAACUUUUUUUUUCUGAUACAGAUACAAACAUGAAACAAAUAAACAUAUCAUUUUGAAUCAAAACUACUGAACUCGAGUUGCUCAUGAUAAACUAUCAAACUCUAGCAACAUAGGUACUGAUUGUUUUUGCUUUAAAAUUUCAGGUGGGUUUACUGUAUGAUGAGGUUUCCCUGCAGAAUGUGUUAGACAUGAUAGCUGAUUGGACUCCUGAAGAAAGACAGAUGCUGAGAGAUAAGGUUCCGAAAACGGGUCUAAAGACACCAUUUCGUGAUGGAUUACUCAAGCAAGUUGCCGAAGAUGUAGUAAAGUUUGCAUAGGGGAUGGCCUGGAAAGAAGAGGCUUUAAGGAAUCAGGGUUCUUAAAUGAAGCGGUGGAGAUUGUGAGAAUAGGUGUAACACCAGCUGAGAAGCUAUUGGAGUUGUAUAAUGGGAAGUGGAAACAACAGAUAGACCCAGUUUUUGAAGAGCUACUAUACUCAUGAACUGAAGUUGGGCACUUCAGCAGGGUCACUUUUGUGUGUGACCAUCGCAAAAUUUCUGGUGUAAUCUAUAUGUAGCUGCUGUCGGUUUGUUUAUGAUAUAUUCAGGCAUUGGAUUUUAGGCAAAUGAUCUUUCAGUUUUCAGUACCCAGGUUAUGUAAGGAAAGGUUAAAAUAAGUUCAAGCUUCUUGGUUGAA